AGAGUUUGAUCCUGGCUCAGGAUGAACGCUGGCGGCGUGCUUAACACAUGCAAGUCGAACGAAGCACCUUAUUCUGAUUUCUUCGGAAUGAAAAAUUUGGUGACUGAGUGGCGGACGGGUGAGUAACGCGUGGGUAACCUGCCUCAUACAGGGGGAUAACAGUUAGAAAUGACUGCUAAUACCGCAUAAGACCACAGCACCGCAUGGUGCAGGGGUAAAAACUCCGGUGGUAUGAGAUGGACCCGCGUCUGAUUAGCUAGUUGGUGAGGUAACGGCCCACCAAGGCGACGAUUGGUAGCCGGACUGAGAGGUUGAACGGCCACAUUGGGACUGAGACACGGCCCAGACUCCUACGGGAGGCAGCAGUGGGGGAUAUUGCACAAUGGGGGAAACCCUGAUGCAGCGACGCCGCGUGGAGGAAGAAGGUUUUCGGAUUGUAAACUCCUGUCGUUAGGGACGAUAAUGACGGUACCUAACAAGAAAGCACCGGCUAACUACGUGCCAGCAGCCGCGGUAAAACGUAGGGUGCAAGCGUUGUCUGGAAUUACUGGGUGUAAAGGGAGCGCAGGCGGACCGGCAAGUUGGAAGUGAAAACUAUGGGCUCAACCCAUAAAUUGCUUUCAAAACUGCUGGCCUUGAGUAGUGCAGAGGUAGGUGGAAUUCCCGGUGUAGCGGUGGAAUGCGUAGAUAUCGGGAGGAACACCAGUGGCGAAGGCGACCUACUGGGCACCAACUGACGCUGAGGCUCGAAAGCAUGGGUAGCAAACAGGAUUCGAUACCCUGGUAGUCCUCGCCGUAGACGAUGGAUUACUAGGUGUUGGAGGAUUGACCCUCUCAGUGCCGCAGUUAACACAAUAAGUAAUCCACCUGGGGAGUACGACCGCAAGGUUGAAACUCAAAGGAAUUGACGGGGACCCGCACAAGCGGUGGAGCAUGUGGUUUAAUUUGAAGCAACGCGAAGAACCUUACCAAAUCUUGACAUCCCUCUGACCGGUCUUUAAUCGGACCUUCUCUUCGGAGCAGAGGUGACAGGUGGUGCAUGGUUAUCGUCAGCUCGUGUCGUGAGAUGUUGGGUUAAGUCCCGCAACGAGCGCAACCCCUAUCCCCAGUAGCCAGCGGUUCGGCCGGGCACUCUGAGGAGACUGCCAGGGAUAACCUGGAGGAAGGCGGGGAUGACGUCAAAUCAUCAUGCCCCUUAUGAUUUGGGCUACACACGUGCUACAAUGGCGUAAACAAAGGGAAGCGAACCUGCGAGGGUGGGCAAAUCCCAAAAAUAACGUCCCAGUUCGGACUGUAGUCUGCAACCCGACUACACGAAGCUGGAAUCGCUAGUAAUCGCGGAUCAGAAUGCCGCGGUGAAUACGUUCCCGGGUCUUGCACUCACCGCCCGUCA
rnacentral:rRNA from 1 species